rnacentral:rRNA from 1 species
AGAGUUUGAUCAUGGCUCAGAGUGAACGCUGGCGGCGUGCUUAACACAUGCAAGUCGAACGAUGAUUAAGAGCUUGCUCUUAUGAUUAGUGGCGCACGGGUGAGUAAUGUAUAGCUAACGUGCCCCAUAGAGGGGGAUAACAGUUGGAAACGACUGCUAAUACCCCAUACUCCUUCUUCCUAUAAGGGAAGUCGGGAAAGUUUUUUCGCUAUGGGAUCGGGCUAUAUGAUAUCAGCUUGUUGGUGAGGUAACGGCUCACCAAGGCUAUGACAUCUAACUGGUCUGAGAGGAUGAUCAGCCACACUGGAACUGAGACACGGUCCAGACUCCUACGGGAGGCAGCAGUGGGGAAUAUUACACAAUGGGCGAAAGCCUGAUGUAGCAACGCCGCGUGGAGGAUGACACAUUUCGGUGCGUAAACUCCUUUUAUAGGGGAAGAAAUUUGCCGGUACCCUAUGAAUAAGCACCGGCUAACUCCGUGCCAGCAGCCGCGGUAAUACGGGGGGUGCAAGCGUUACUCGGAAUCACUGGGCGUAAAGGGAGCGUAGGCGUUCUAUUAAGUCUUGAGUGAAAGCCCACAGCCUAACUGUGGAACUGCUUGGGAAACUGAUAGAAUUGAGUAUGGAAGAGGUCAGUGGAAUUUCCGGUGUAGGGGUAAAAUCCGUAGAUAUCGGAAGGAAUACCAGAAGCGAAGGCGACUGACUGGGACAUUACUGACGCUGAGGCUCGAAAGCGUGGGGAGCAAACAGGAUUAGAUACCCUGGUAGUCCACGCCCUAAACGAUGAACACUAGUCGUUACGGAGCUAGUCUCUGUAGUGACGCAGCUAACGCAUUAAGUGUUCCGCCUGGGGAGUACGGUCGCAAGAUUAAAACUCAAAGGAAUAGACGGGGACCCGCACAAGCGGUGGAGCAUGUGGUUUAAUUCGAAGAUACGCGAAGAACCUUACCAAGGCUUGACAUGUAAGGAACCUUGCAGAAAUGUAGGGGUGCUAGCUUGCUAGAACCUUAACACAGGUGCUGCAUGGCCGUCGUCAGCUCGUGUCGUGAGAUGUUGGGUUAAGUCCCGCAACGAGCGCAACCCUCGUCCUUAGUUGCCAGCGGUUCGGCCGGGAACUCUAAGGAGACUGCCUGCGUAAGCGGGAGGAAGGUGGGGAUGAUGUCAGGUCAUCACGGCCCUUAUGCCUUGGGCAACACACGUGCUACAAUGGGAUAUACAGAAAGUCGCAAUACCGCGAGGUGGGGCCAAUCUCUAAAAUAUCUCUCAGUUCGGAUUGUAGUCUGCAACUCGACUACAUGAAGUCGGAAUCGCUAGUAAUCGUAGAUCAGCUAUGCUACGGUGAAUACGUUCCCGGGUCUUGUACUCACCGCCCGUCACACCAUGGGAGUUGAUAUUGCCUUAAGUCGGAAUGCUAACCGUAAGGAGGCUACCGCCCACGGCUGUAUCAGCGACUGGGGUGAAGUCGUAACAAGGUAACCAAGGGCGAA